UCGAGCGAGUCUCUUCGGAGGCUAGCGGCGGACGGGUGAGUAACACGUAGGCAACCUGCCUCUCAGACUGGGAUAACAUAGGGAAACUUAUGCUAAUACCGGAUAGGUUUUUGGAUCGCAUGAUCCGAAAAGAAAAGAUGGCUUCGGCUAUCACUGGGAGAUGGGCCUGCGGCGCAUUAGCUAGUUGGUGGGGUAACGGCCUACCAAGGCGACGAUGCGUAGCCGACCUGAGAGGUGACCGGCCACACUGGGACUGAGACACGGCCCAGACUCCUACGGGAGGCAGCAGUAGGGAAUUUUCCACAAUGGACGAAAGCUGAUGGAGCAACGCCGCGUGAACGAUGAAGGCUUCGAUUGAAAGUCUGUGUAGGACGAUAAGACCGUCGAUAGGCGGACCUUGACGGACCUGACGAGAAGCACGCUACUACGGCAGAGCGGUAUACGAGUGCAGGUGCCGAUUAUGGGAAGGGGAGCGGUUGAAGCUGGGUAAGCCGGGUCACCCGUCGUCGAAUGGACUGGGAAAAGAAGGAUCCCGGACGUGAUGGAAUGGAGACACAGGCGAGCGUUUGUCUUGUACUGACGCUGAGCCGAAAGCGUGGGGAGCAACAGGAUUAGAUACCCUGGUAGUCACGCCGUAACGAUGAGUGCUAGUGUUGGAGUUUCAAUACCCUCAGUGCGCAGCUACGCUAUAAGCACUCCGCCUGAGAGUACGCUCGCAAGAGUGAAACUCAAAGGAUUGACGGGGCCCGCACAAGCGGUGGAGCAUGUGGUUAAUCGAAGCAACGCGAAGACCCUUACAGUCUUGACAUCCCGCUGAUCGCUCUGGAGACAGAGCUUCCCUUCGGGCAGCGGUGACAGGUGGUGCAUGGUUGUCGUCAGCUCGUGUCGUGAGAUGUUGGUUAAGUCCCGCAACGAGCGCACCCUUAUCUUUAGUUGCCAGCAUUCAGUUGGCACUCUAGAGAGACUGCCGUCGACAAGACGGAGGAAGGCGGGGAUGACGUCAAAUCAUCAUGCCCCUUAUGACCUGGGCUACACACGUGCUACAAUGGUUGGUACAACGGGAUGCUACCUCGCGAGAGGACGCCAAUCUCUUAAAACCAAUCUCAGUUCGGAUUGUAGGCUGCAACUCGCCUACAUGAAGUCGGAAUCGCUAGUAAUCGCGGAUCAGCAUGCCGCGGUGAAUACGUUCCCGGGCCUUGUACACACCGCCCGUCACACCACGGGAGUUUGCAACACCCGAAGUCGGUGAGGUA
rnacentral:rRNA from 1 species